AGAGCAGUACUUGUAAAAUUCCACCAUCUGAAGUUCGUUUUAAAUAGGGCCACUAUGUAUGCAGUGUACUAUGCUCUAGUGGAUUCACUAUUGUCGUAUGGGCUGUCAAGCUACGGUCGUACAUUUAAAACGUAUCUAGAUAAGAUAAAGGCAUUGCAGAUUAGAUUCAUGAAAUUAAUGGUUGACAAAAAAACUAAAUUUAAAUGUAAAAGUACUACCUAUGAACAACUCUUCUUAGAAUGUAAAAUUUUAACAGUUCAUGAAAAAGUCACGUUAUUCUUAGCUAUGGAACAAAUGUAUAAUGAUGAGUUUAAAAUACCUAUUGUCAAUCAAAGGUUAAUAAGAAACAGAGAUAAUAAUAAAUUGCUAGUACCUAGUUUUACUAAUUAUUUUGGCCAGAGAUGUAGAAAAUAUUUAGUCCCUAUGAUCUAUAACGAGGGUCGCCAAAUGGCGGACCGCGGUCCGCAUCCGGACCGCCGACCCAUUUUGUGCGGACCGCGAGAACACAGAAACUUUUGCACUACAGAGUACGUAAUUUAAAAUAAAAAUGUAUCCCCCGCAUUAUCUUUGUUGACGUCAAUUUGAAAACGGCCGGGCGAAGUCACUAGCUAAGAUAGUCCAGAUAGUCCGCAACAAAAAAUGUCAUUUUUCUCAUUGAUAUGUAAAAAAAUACCUUUGUUAUUUCUGUAAUUACAUUUGUUUAAUAAAUAUUUUUUCUAUAAAA